AGUGAACGCUGGCGGUGUGCCUAACACAUGCAAGUCGAACGGCAACACAGUGAGUGUUUGCUCUUACGGGUGGCGGGUGGCGGGCGGGUCACGAAUGCAUCGGAAUCUACUUUUUCGGGGAGGAUAACGUAGGUAAACUUACUAUAAUAUCGCAUAUGCUGUACGGGUGAAAGCAGUGGAUAUUCUGACCUUUCGCGAUUGAAUGAGCCGCUGUCGGGCUAGCUAGUUGGCGGGGUAAAGGCCCACCAAGGCGACGAUCCGUAGCUGGACUGAGAGGAUGGUCGGCCACACUGGAGCUGAGACACGGUCCAGACUACUACGGGAGGCAGCAGUCGGGAAUGGUGGGCAAUGGGCGCAAGCCUGGCCCAGCCAUACCGAGUGGGUGAAGAAGGCCUUCGGGUUGUAAAGCCCUUUUGUUGGGAAAGAAAAGCUGCAGCUUAAUACGCAGCUGUUCUGACGGUACCGAAUGAAUAAGCACCGGCUAACUACGUG
rnacentral:rRNA from 1 species